AUUGAACGCUGGCGGCAGGCCUAACACAUGCAAGUCGAACGAGUGGCGGACGGGUGAGUAAUGGCUGGGAAACUGCCUGAUGGAGGGGGAUAACUACUGGAAACGGUGGAUAAUACCGCAUACAAUCAGAUGUGCCCAGAGGGGAUUAGGUUGUUGGUGGGUUAACGGCUCACCAAGGCGACGAUCCCUAGCUGGUCUGAGAUGAUGACCAGCCACACUGGAACUGAGACACGGUCCAGACUCCUACGGGAGGCAGCAGUGGGGAAUAUUGCACAAGGGGCGCAAGCCUGAUGGAGCCAUGCCGCGUGUAUGAAGAAGGCCUUCGGGUUGUAAAAUACUUUCAGUGGGGAGGCGUUACCCGAAGAAGAAGCCCCGGCUAACUCCGUGCCAGCAGCCGCGGUAAUUC
rnacentral:rRNA from 1 species